rnacentral:rRNA from 1 species
UAGCUAGUUGGUGAGGUAAAGGCUUACCAAGGCGACGAUCUGUAGCGGGUCUGAGAGGAUGAUCCGCCACACUGGAACUGAGACACGGUCAGACUCCUACGGGAGGCAGCAGUGGGGAAUUUUGGACAAUGGGGGCAACCCUGAUCCAGCCAUGCCGCGUGAGUGAAGAAGGCCUUCGGGUUGUAAAGCUCUUUCGGCCGGGAAGAAAUCGCAUGGGCCAAUACCCUGUGUGGAUGACGGUACCGGAAUAAGAAGCACCGGCUAACUACGUGCCGGCAGCCGCGGUAAUACGUAGGGUGCGAGCGUUAAUCGGAAUUACUGGGCGUAAAGCGUGCGCAGGCGGUUUUGUAAGACAGGCGUGAAAUCCCCGGGCUUAACCUGGGAACUGCGUUUGUGACUGCAAGGCUAGAGUACGGCAGAGGGGGGUGGAAUUCCACGUGUAGCAGUGAAAUGCGUAGAGAUGUGGAGGAACACCAAUGGCGAAGGCAGCCCCCUGGGUCGAUACUGACGCUCAUGCACGAAAGCGUGGGUAGCAAACAGGAUUAGAUACCCUGGUAGUCCACGCCCUAAACUAUGUCAACUAGGUGUUGGGUGGGUAAAACCAUUUAGUACCGUAGCUAACGCGUGAAGUUGACCGCCUGGGGAGUACGGCCGCAAGGUUAAAACUCAAAGGAAUUGACGGGGACCCGCACAAGCGGUGGAUGAUGUGGAUUAAUUCGAUGCAACGCGAAAAACCUUACCUACCCUUGACAUGCCAGGAACUUGCCAGAGAUGGCUUGGUGCCCGAAAGGGAGCCUGGACACAGGUGCUGCAUGGCUGUCGUCAGCUCGUGUCGUGAGAUGUUGGGUUAAGUCCCGCAACGAGCGCAACCCUUGUCGUUAAUUGCCAUCAUUUAGUUGGGCACUUUAACGAGACUGCCGGUGACAAACCGGAGGAAGGUGGGGAUGACGUCAAGUCCUCAUGGCCCUUAUGGGUAGGGCUUCACACGUCAUACAAUGGUCGGUACAAAGGGUUGCCAAGCCGCGAGGCGGAGCCAAUCCCAGAAAGCCGAUCGUAGUCCGGAUUGCAGGCUGCAACUCGCCUGCAUGAAGUCGGAAUCGCUAGUAAUCGUGGAUCAGCAUGUCACGGUGAAUACGUUCCCGGGUCUUGUACACACCGCCCGUCACACCAUGGGAGCGGGUUCCGCCAGAAGUAGGUAGCCUAACCGCAAGGGGGGCGCUUACCACGGCGGGGUUCGUGACUGGGGUGAAGUCGUAACAAGGUAGCCGUAGGGGAACCUGCGGCUG